UGACUUACAGUGGCAAGGGACAUCGGCUUUCCCAACGAGCCUGUCGGGGAGGAGUCAGAUGGCUCCGGGUAAGGGAGAACUUCGCAUGAAGUUCAACAGGGAUCCAAAACAGCUGUCUUUUUUCAUCACUAAUAUAAGACACUUUAUGGAAGAUUUUGGGGAGCAAUUCCCCUCGGAAAGUGCAAAAAUCCACACUAUGUAGCAAACCUGAAGGAAGUAGCUGUGGACUGGUUAAUGCAAAUGUAUGAUACCGAUGCCCCUGAACUGGGUUGCCUGGAGACUUUCUGAAGGCUCUCCAAGAGAGGUUUGAGGGUCCUCUGGCGGAGGAGAGGGUGAAAGUUCAACUGAAAAGGAUAUACAGUAGAGUCUCACUUAUCCAAGCCUCGCUUAUCCAAGCCUCUGGAUGAUCCAAGCCAUUUUUGUAGUCAAUGUUUUCAAUAUAUCAUGAUAUUUUGGUGCUAAAUUCGUAAAUACAGUAAUUACAACAUAACAUUACUGCGUAUUGAGCUACUUUUUCUGUCAAAUUUGUUGUAUAACAUGAUGUUUUGGUGCUUAAUUUGUAAAAUCAUAACCUAAUUUGAUGUUUAAUAGGCUUUUCCUUAAUCCCUCCUUAUUAUCCAAGAUAUUCGCUUAUCCAAGCUUCUGCUGGCCCGUUUAGCUUGGAUAUGUGAGACUCUACUGUUCCAGGGAAACAAAACAGUGUCAGAAUACGCCCUGGAAUUCAAAGCAGUGGCUGGAAGGAUUAGGGACUGGUCAGAAACCACCAAACUGGAAUAUUUCAGGGCAGGCCUGCGUCCAGAUGUGCUUGAGUGUGUUUUGCACCGGGGUAACCCUGCGGACUUAGAAACCUGGAUUCAUUUGGCAGGCAAAGUGGAAGUGGAUAAACAGCAAAUGCCUCGCCGACCUAGGGAAAGUGUCAGACUCAAGGCCCCAGCAACAGCAGCAUGGCAUUCCUCCCCUCCACGCAGGGAUCAACAAACCGGGAGAGGAGAGGGGGCCGAGGUGCCUGCUUUUCUUGCGGCCCAUGAGGGGCAUCGAGAGGCAGAGUGUCCGAGAAGAGCAGGAGCGAAAGGAGGGAAGCCUCGCAGCCAAAAUUCACCCCUCCCUCCGCCUAAACUGGCUAAGGGGAAAGCUGCCAUGGCAACCAAAACAGCUUUAGCUCCAGGACAGCUCCCAGCGGAAGAACUGGAGGGAGAAGAAGAAAUCCUGGAACUAUUGGGAAACAACCAAGAUCUGUUUUAGACGCCCGUGAACAGAUCAAACCAGCGAAGGGCAACAGGGGUGAGUUGAAAAGGCUAAAUUGUGACAUUGUAGACAUCUCUACAAAGGAGAAUUAGGGUGAGGUUGUUGAACCCAGAAACAAAGGCCCAUAUAGAGACUGAUGCUAUGCUAGAUUGUGGGUGCACCCGGUGCCUGAUUACCCCUGAACUAGCCAAAAGGUUAGGAGUAAAGCCCAAUCCCUUAAAGACACCGGUAGUCUUCUCUGAAUUAGACAGGAUCCCAGCAAACGGGGCACCAGUAACAGAAAAAACAUGUUUCUUAAGAAUGACAAUGGGCACCCAUGCAGAGACUUUGCAGUUUGUGAUUUCAACGAUGGCAUACCAGCCAGUCAUACUGGGCGUCCCUUGGUUGAGGUGGCAUAAUCCUCAAAUUGACUGGAAAAGGUAAACUCUCACAUUCUGGGAUGGGACUUGCAACUUUGAGAGUUUCCCAAGGCCCAUAAGAGAAUUAAAGCCAGAAGAGGUGCUAGUGGCCACAUCACAAGAUGUGCCAAUGGAGAACAUCCCCAAAGUUUAUCAGGAUUUUGCAGAUGUUUCAGCGAAAGAGAAAGUGACCAAUUCCCCCCCCCCCGCCACAUAGAAAAACUGACUGUGCGAUUGAAAUAGACCCAAACACCAAAUUACCAAAACCAAAACUAUAUGCAAUGUCAGAGCGGGAGAAAAAGGCACUCAGAGAAUUCAUUGACAAAAACCUAAAGAGGGGGUUCAUCGAGUCAUCCCAAUCCCCACUGGCAGCUCCGAUUUUCUUCCAGCCAAAACAGGACGGAUCACAGAGAUAGGUCGUGGAUUAUCGUGGCCUUAACGCGAUAUGCACCACAAAUCAAUAUCCACUCUCGCUAAUGUCCGAGAUGUUAGCACAGUUGGGAGAAGUGCGCAUCUUUACCAAACUGGAUUUGCGAGAGGCCUUUUAUAGGGUUCGAAUCCGGGAUGAAGUCCGUUGGAAAAUGGCUUUUAAUAGUUAUUUGGGUCAGUACCAUUUCAGAACCAUGCAAUUUGUGUUGUCCGGUGGUCCAAAAGUGUUCAUGCAGUUCAUAAAUGAGAUCUUUCAUGAGCUAUUAUAUAAAGGAGUGAUCAUAUACUUGGAUGACAUCCUUAUAUACAAUAGGUCAUUAUCGGAACAUGUUAAAUUGACCCGAAAAGUCCUGCAGAUCUUGAGGGAGAAUCAGCUUUAUGCUAAACUUUCCAAAUGAGAGUUCCACAGAACACAAUUGGACUAUUUGGGGUUUCGGAUCUCUACAAAGGGCAUAGCAAUGGAUCCCGCUAAGGUGCAGGAUGUCUUAGCGUGGGAACCCCCCCCCCCCCCAAGACCCAAAGACAAUUACAGGGGUUCCUGGGGUUUGCCAAUUUCUAUAGACAAUUCAUCAAGGACUUUGCCAAAUUGACUCUACCCUUGACAGACAUACUAAAAACUAAGGGGAAGGGGGAGACUUGCAAGACAAAGACACUGGGCGCUAAGCUGGUCUAGACGUCUGAGUGCCAGAAGGCGUUUGAAGAAUUAAAAAGGAGAUUCAUUAGUCAACCAAUCUUGGUACAUGCCCAGCCAAACAAAUCUUUUGUGGUGCACUGCGAUGCCUCAGAGACAGCCUAUGGAGCGAUCCUGUUGCAGGCCGAUGAAGAGGGUAAUCUAAGACCUUGUGCUUAUCUGUCAAAAAAGUUCACUGAGGCGGAGAAACUGUGGCAUGUGUGGGAGAAGGAAUCCUUUGCAGUGAGAUUGGCCCUAGCCCACUGGCGCCACUUCUUACAAGGAACAGAUGUUCCGUUUGAGGUAUGGACUGAUCAUAAAAAUCUACAGGCUUUACAAACCCCCCAAAGGUUGAAUGCGAAACAACUAUGAUGGGCCCAAUUUUUCAGCUGCUUCAAUUUUAAGUUGAAGUUUUUCCCGGGAAAACAAAAUUGAUUGGCAGAUGCGCUCUCACGCAUGCCCGACGCUGACUAUUUGGCUCUGGGAGAAGUCAGAACUAUGUUCACAAGGGAACAACUGGGAUUGUUAGUGCAAACCCGACCCAAAAUCAAGGACAAACCUCCCCCUAGUGGUCAAAUGCAAGAAUUGUCCCAGGAAUUAAAAUCUUCCGCCAAUACAGACUCUUGGCUUCAGUCCCAUAAAGAUGAAUUGUCACAGGAAGGGGACCUGAGGACUUACGGUUCCAAAUACUAUGUGCCAGAAAGCCUCCGACUCCAAACUCUCUGGCCAUUUUGGACUUACAAAAACUUUAAAGCUGUUAAACAGACAAUUCUGGUGGCCAACCAUAUGCAAAGAUGUAAGGGACUAUUUACAGGAAUGCCCUGUAUGCGCUAAGGCCAAACAGAAGGUGGGCAAGCCCUCCGGUUUGCUGCAAUCCGUAGCCAAUCCCUCAAAACCCUGGACCAAUAUAGCUAUGGACUUUGUUGUAGACUUACCCAAUAGUAACGGGUUCAACACUAUCUAGACUGUAAUUGACCUGUUUUCCAAACAAGCCCACUUCAUCCCCCUUAAGAGACUCCCAACUGCACUUGAGUUGGCCAAAUUGUUUCUGCAACAUGUGUUUCAUUUACACGGAUGCCCUGAGCGAAUUAUAAGUGACAGGAGCUCUCAGUUCACGUCCCAGUUUUGGAAAUCUUUCCUGGGGCUUUUAGGAACUGAGAGGGCCCUAAGCACAGCUUUCCAUCUCGAGACAGACGGAGCCACAUAACGGGUCCAGAAGACCCUUCAGCAGUUUCUCCGUUGCUACAGCACAUACCAACAAGAUCAAUGGGCCUCACUUUUUCCCUUUGCAGAAUACUGCAUUAAUAAUUUGGACCACGCCUCCACUGGAGUCUCACCGUUUAAGGUUGUAGGGGGUAGGGAUUUCCCGCCAUUUCCAGAGUGACUAAAGGACAUGGCGGUACAGAUUCCACCCAGAGUUGUUCUUCCAGGUUGUGUUGCUGACACAAAACCGGGAGACUGGGGGGAGAAGAUUGCUGCCUCUUGGCCUUCGAUUCAGGAUGCACUGCAUUCGGCCAAGAUGGAUUACAAAAAGCAUGCAGAUAAAAAGGGAGCAGCACACCUGGACUUUAAGGUGGGAGAAUUAGUGUACUUGUCAACCAAACACCUGAAAUCCACCCAACCAUCACGGAAACUGAGCCCAAGGUGCAUUGGGCUCUUCCCUAUCUCGGCUGUGAUAAACCCUGUGGCAGUAAGACUGCAGUUACCUCAUAAUUGACACAAAGUACACCCUGUAUUUCAUGUUAGCCUGCUGAAGCUGGCGUGUACCACCCACAAAUGGAAUACGACAGAUUCAGACCUUACUCCCAUCAUGGUGGGGGUGCAUACCCAUUUUGAGAUUAAAGACAUUCUAGACUCCAAGAGGUCUCGUGGGAAAUUGUCCUACUUGGUCCAGUGGACUUCAAAGGCCUUACAUCACGAGUGGGUGUCGGCUGAACGUGUUAAGGCCCCAAGACUGGGUCGUCUUUGCGGAGGGGGGAUUUAUGUCAGGAUGUGAUCACCCAGCAUUCACACUGGUUGAACUAUUCCCAUCCUGCCAAAAGUCAUUGGGGUGGAGAUAACCUAAAUGAUAAGAACCAUCUGGCUAGGAGGAUUGAUUUAUGGCCAUGAUCUCGUUUUCAAGCCUGGGAAAGGACUAUCGACAGACAAGUGUGAACGUGGAAGGGGGGCUGAGGGGAAGUAGUAGCUUGAUAUGCGGAAGUUGAUUAGUCUGGACGGAAGUUGAUUAGUAACAGCUUUGUGCUUGUCUUGGCAAGAAGGUUUUCAAUAAAGUGUUUCCACGGAA